UACGUAGGGGGCUAGCGUUGUCCGGAUUUAUUGGGCGUAAAGAGCGUGUAGGCGGCCAGAUAGGUCUGCUGUGAAAACUCGAGGCUCAACCUCGAGAUGUCGGCGGAAACCAUUUGGCUAGAGUCCGGAAGAGGAGAGUGGAAUUCCUGGUGUAGCGGUGAAAUGCGCAGAUAUCAGGAAGAACACCUAUGGCGAAGGCAGCUCUCUGGGACGGUACUGACGCUGAGACGCGAAAGCGUGGGGAGCGAACAGG
rnacentral:rRNA from 1 species